rnacentral:lncRNA from 1 species
UGUGGCUGAUCUUGAAGAAAGAAGAAACCCUCGCGACACCUGGGGUUUGCUGCUCCUAACAGAAGGCGCGGGGGCGUGGUGACGAGCGGAGUCCUUUGAGGAUACUUUUAAGUUUCCUAUGCUCCCCUGGGAGGAAAAGGAGGUGGUGGAGAUCAUAGUGUGUCCGGAACUGGUGGGUUCUUGGUCUCACUGACUUCAAGAAUGAAGCCGUGAAGCCUCGUGGUGAGUGUUACAGUUCUUAAAGGCGGCGUGUCUGGAGUUUUUUCCUUCUGAUGUUCAGAUUUGUUCAGAGUUUCUUCCUUCUGGUGGGUUCGUGGUCUGACGCUGGCUCAGGAGUGAAGCUACAGACCUUCACGGCGAGUGUUAAUAGGUCUUAAGAGGGCACAUGUAGAGUUGUUCCCUCCUCUCAGUGGGUUUGUGGUCUUGCUAUCUUCAGGAGCGAAGCUGCAGACCUUUGUGAUGAGUGUUACAGCUCAUAAGAGCAGUGUGGACCCAAAGUCUCAGCAGCAGCAAGAUUUACUGCAAAGAGCAAAAGAACAAAGUUUCCACAACGUGAAGGGAUACCCAAUCAGAUUGCUGCUGCUGCUAGCUCAAGCAGCCUGCUUUUAUUCUCUUAUCUGACCCCACCCACAUACUGCUCAUUGGUCCAUUUUAUAGAGAGCCGAUUGGUUUGUUUUACAGAGAGCUGAU